GACAUAGUACACUGCAAUACUAUGUCAUUAUUACGUAGUAUACAUUCGCAAUUUUUAGUCCAUUCAUUAAAUACUAUUCACGAUUAAUUUGUAGCGAUAUGUUAUCAAAAUAAAUGUCAGCGUGUUUAUUUAUUGUUGGCCGAUGUCAAAAGAGAAAUUCCUGUGACAAAAUUUUUGUAAAAAUUUGACAUGCUAAACUAAUUGAUAGAUAUUCAAGAUGAUGCAGUACUGUGAAAAUGGAUCAGCCAUUAAUGUCUAUUGGAGAAAUAAUGGUCUGAACCAUUGCUUUAUUGAUACUGUAACGAACAGUGUUUUAUUUUUCAUCAUUGCUGUUUUUGGGACAAUACAGAUAUGGAUGUACAACCGGUACUCAACUUCAGUAGAGAAGAAGUAUAAACCAUUUAAUUUCGGAUAUGUUACACAAAUUCUUGCUACUUCAGUCUUGAUAUUUGAGUCUAUUCUUCAUAUUGUACUGAUUGACACAGCUGAAGAUGGUCGCACUGUUUAUGGCUAUCAGCUCUUCACUUGUCUAGUGUACCUUUGUGGCUGGACUAUAACAAUGAAACUAGUAUGCUUAGAAAGACACCGUGCCUUGCCCUCGAUACCUACAAGAAGCCAUGGACUUGUUUUGCUUGUCUUUUGGACAUUAACAUAUGUACGAGAGAAUAUUGCUUUUGUAUCUUGGUUUAGUCCAGAAUGGUGGUGGCAUUUAAGGGGUGAAUCUCAAAAGAUUGAAUUUUCAUUAUGGCUACUGCGUUAUCUGUGCACAAUGUCACUGUUUAUCUUGGGUUUUUGUGCACCUGGUGUUCCUCGAGGCACUUACCAUUUACUUCUUCAAGAUGAGGAACAGGGCCAAAAUCAAUCAGAAACUUCUACUUGGAAAAACAUAUCAAAGAAAAUGAAGCUUAUGUUUCCAUUGGUGUGGCCGAAAGGUCAGUUGGUGUUGCAGUUGUUAGUUGUUUUAUGCCUGGGAUUACUUAGCCUUGGACGAGUAGUGAAUAUUUUUGUACCAAUCUAUUACAAAAACAUUGUGAACAGUCUAUCCGAAGAUGCUUCCGGUGGCAAACCACUAACUUUCCGAUGGGAUUUUGUUCUUAUCUACGUCGUUCUCUUUAUGUUACAAGGUGGAGGAUUUGGUUCAACAGGUCUCUUGAACAAUUUGCGGUCUUUAUUAUGGCUUCCUGUUCAGCAGUACACAACAAGAAAAAUACAAAUACAAUUAUUUGCACAUUUACAUUGUCUUUCUCUUAGAUGGCAUUUAAACAGGAAGACGGGUGAAGUCCUACGGGUUAUUGACAGAGGAAAGAACAGCAUCAACCAACUUCUCAGUUACAUCCUCUUCCAGAUCCUUCCCACAAUUAUCGACAUCAUAAUUGCUAUCAUAUUCUUCAUCACUCAGUUCAACUACAUCUUUGGUUUGGUUGUUUUCCUCUGUAUGAUGCUCUAUCUUGCAACAACAAUUCUGAUCACAGAAUGGAGAACCAAGUAUCGGCGCAACAUGAAUCUCAAAGACAAUGAAGCCAACACCAAAGCAGUGGAUUCUUUAAUCAAUUUUGAAACGGUGAAGUAUUAUAAUGCUUCUCAGCUGGAAGUAAACCGAUACCAGGGAGCUAUUGUCGAAUAUCAAAAAGCUGAAUGGUUGUCUACUGCCAGCCUGAACUUGUUAAACACACUGCAAAGUUUCGUCAUUGCAAUAGGUUUACUUGGUGGCUGUAUGUUAUGUGCUUGGGCAGUAGUCCAUGGGUUAAAUGGCCUGAAGCUCACUUCAGGGGAUUAUGUUCUGUUUGGUACUUACAUUAUACAGCUCUUUGCUCCAUUAAAUUGGUUGGGAACUUAUUACAGAAUGAUCCAGCAGUCUUUCAUUGAUAUGGAGAAUAUGUUUGACUUGAUUAAUGAAGAAGAAGAGGUUUCUGAUAUUCCUGGUGCCAAAGAUCUGCAACUGAAAGAAGGCAAAAUUGAGUUUAGAAACGUCCAGUUUCAUUAUGAGAUUGCACGACCCAUUCUGAAAAAUAUUUCUUUUACUGUUUUGCCUGGACAAACAUUUGCUUUGGUUGGUCAGACAGGAAGUGGAAAGAGUACAAUUGUGAGACUUUUGUUUCGGUUCUACGACAUUCAAGGGGGCAGCAUUCAAAUUGAUAAUCAAGACAUUUCUUUGGUUACUCAAAGUUCACUUCGCCAAUAUAUUGGUGUGGUACCCCAAGACACUGUCCUUUUCAAUGAUGACAUCAGAUAUAAUAUUCGUUAUGGUCGUUUCAAGAGUGAUGAAAGAGACAUUCAGGAAGCUGCUGCUGGCGCCGAUAUUCACGAACGGAUUAUGUCAUUUCCAAAUCGUUAUGAUACAGUUGUUGGUGAAAGAGGUUUGAAACUGAGUGGUGGAGAAAAGCAGAGAGUUGCGAUUGCUCGGACAUUGUUAAAGGCUCCAGCUAUCGUCCUUCUGGAUGAAGCAACAUCAGCCCUGGAUACCGAAACUGAAAGAAACAUCCAAGCAUCAUUAUCACGUGUAUGUGAAAACCGCACAACUAUUAUCGUAGCACAUCGCCUUUCCACUGUUAUUCACGCUGACCAAAUUUUAGUUCUUCAUGAAGGCGUAAUUAUAGAACGAGGAACGCAUACUGAGUUGAUCAAAGCUGAAGGUGCUUAUAGCUCAAUGUGGCAACAACAGUUGACAAAUAUGUCAGCAGAGGAAUCUUCAGAGAACAUAUCAGACAAGUAAUUAGGAAUAUUUUCAGUUUUUUUAAAAUUCAGAAUAGAUUUUUUUUCCACAUUUCUGAUGGUUUGUAUGAUAGAGUUUGUAAUUUUAUUGAGAAAAUGUUUUUGGAUCUCAUAUGUCAGAAUCUAAUAAAAUACCUGAAUAAGUUUUUCCACUUAUUGAUUCCAAA
rnacentral:misc_RNA from 1 species